rnacentral:rRNA from 1 species
UUUCGCAAUGCCCGAAAGGGUGACGAAGCGACGCCGCGUGUGGGAAGAAGGCCUUCGGGUUGUAAACCACUGUCGGGAGUUAGGAAAUGCAGGUGCGUUAAUAGCGCACUUGCUUGACUAAGGCUCCAGAGGAAGCCACGGCUAACUCUGUGCCAGCAGCCGCGGUAAUACAGAGGCGGCAAGCGUUGUUCGGAAUUAUUGGGCGUAAAGAGCACGUAGGCGGCCUUGCAAGUCAGUUGUGAAAGCCUUCCGCUUAACGGAAGAACGGCAUCUGAUACUACAGGGCUUGAGUACGGGAGGGGAGAGUGGAACUUCUGGUGGAGCGGUGAAAUGCGUAGAUAUCAGAAGGAACGCCGGCGGCGAAAGCGACUCUCUGGUCCGAAACUGACGCUGAGUGUGCGAAAGCUAGGGGAGCAAACGGGAUUAGAUGCCCCGGUAGUCCUAGCCGUAAACGAUGGGCACUAAGUAGAGGGGUUUU